UAUCAUAUGACACAUGUAAGUCAGUAUGCCUCGAAUAUGUACAAGGAAAAAGGAAUGGGGAAGGAUUGUAAAAACAGCUUUAGGCUACAUUGAUCAAGUCUCCACGGGACACAUGCAUAAUGGGAUAAAGGUUGUAUGGUUACAAGGCAGAUCAGUUGGAAGUCUUGGCUCCCAAGAGAGCGGCAUAUGCUGCUGGCAGGAAUUGAAAAUUGCAAAUACAAAAUUAGAGAGAAACAAAGUUCAAGAACUUACUCCCAAGGGUCAUCACCAACCAGAAGAACAUCAUUCUCAUGAUCCACAUACACAAGCUUCCAUCCUAUCCUUUGUCUGUCCUCCAGUUGUCCCUCUAUACCGAAUCUACGAGCUAAAUCUUGUUUAAGGUCUUCGUAGCCCGAGUAACGUGCGAUAUCGAUCGAUCUUCCAACAGCACCGCGCUUGUAUACCUUUGAGAGCAUAGAGGCAAAAAAGUUAGUACGCUUAAGUCUUAACUCAAACAUUAUACGAGAUAGCCCGAGUAACGUGCGAUAUCAAUCGAUCUUCCAACAGCACCGCGCUUGUAUACCUUUGAGAGCAUAGAGGCAAAAAAGUUAGUACGCUUAAGUCUUAACUCAAACAUUAUACG
rnacentral:lncRNA from 1 species